CAGCAGCCGCGGUAAUACGUAGGGUGCAAGCGUUGUCCGGAAUUAUUGGGCGUAAAGAGCUCGUAGGCGGUUUGUCGCGUCUGCUGUGAAAUCCUGAGGCUCAACCUCGGGCUUGCAGUGGGUACGGGCAGACUAGAGUGCGGUAGGGGAGAUUGGAAUUCCUGGUGUAGCGGUGGAAUGCGCAGAUAUCAGGAGGAACACCGAUGGCGAAGGCAGAUCUCUGGGCCGUAACUGACGCUGAGGAGCGAAAGCAUGGGGAGCGAACAGGAUUAGAUACCCCUGUAGUCCCUGUCUCUUAUAC
rnacentral:rRNA from 1 species